rnacentral:rRNA from 1 species
ACGGGACUCUUCGGAGUCCAGUGGCGGACGGGUGAGUAACGCGUGAGAAUCUGCCUUCGGGUCGGGGACAACCACUGGAAACGGUGGUUAAUACCGGAUGUGCCCAAGGGUGAAAGACUUGUCGCCCGAAGAGGAGCUCGCGUCCGAUUAGCUAGUUGGUGAGGUAAGAGCUCACCAAGGCAGCGAUCGGUAGCUGGUCUGAGAGGACAACCAGCCACACUGGGACUGAGACACGGCCCAGACUCCUACGGGAGGCAGCAGUGGGGAAUUUUCCGCAAUGGGCGAAUAGCCUGACGGAGCAAUACCGCGUGAGGGAAGAAGGCUCUUGGGUCGUAAACCUCUUUUGUCAGGGAAGAAGAAAGUGACGGUACCUGACGAAUCAGCCUCGGCUAACUCCGUGCCAGCAGCCGCGGUAAUACGGAGAAGGCAAGCGUUAUCCGGAAUUAUUGGGCGUAAAGCGUCCGCAGGUGGCUAGUCAAGUCGGCGGUCAAAGACUGGGGCUCAACUCCAGAAAAGCCGUGGAAACUGACAAGCUAGAGGGCGGUAGGGGUAGAGGGAAUUCCCGGUGUAGCGGUGAAAUGCGUAGAGAUCGGGAAGAACAUCGGUGGCGAAAGCGCUCUACUGGACCGCAACUGACACUAAUGGACGAAAGCUAGGGGAGCGAAUGGGAUUAGAUACCCCAGUAGUCCUAGCCGUAAACGAUGGAUACUAG